GCCGUUGUAGCUCAGUUGGUAGAGCAACUGACCCGUAAUCAGUAGGUCGGGUGUUCGAUUCACCCCAACGGCACCA
rnacentral:tRNA from 1 species